UAGGGAAUCUUCCGCAAUGGACGCAAGUCUGACGGAGCAACGCCGCGUGAGUGAAGAAGGUUUUCGGAUCGUAAAGCUCUGUUGUUAAGGAAGAACGAGUGUGAGAAUGGAAAGUUCAUACUGUGACGGUACUUAACCAGAAAGGGACGGCUAACUACGUGCCAGCAGCCGCGGUAAUACGUAGGUCCCGAGCGUUGUCCGGAUUUAUUGGGCGUAAAGCGAGCGCAGGCGGUCAAUUAAGUCUGAUGUGAAAGCCCCCGGCUCAACCGGGGAGGGUCAUUGGAAACUGGUUGACUUGAGUGCAGAAGAGGAGAGUGGAAUUCCAUGUGUAGCGGUGAAAUGCGUAGAUAUAUGGAGGAACACCAGUGGCGAAGGCGACUCUCUGGUCUGUAACUGACGCUGAGGCUCGAAAGCGUGGGGAGCGAACAGG
rnacentral:rRNA from 1 species